GAUGAAACUUUGUCCUUUUUUAACAUGCCAGUGUCCUAAAAGAAAGAAGAAACUAUUCCACCUCUUCAUAUUUGUACAAUUGUAACAAUACUAAUUUAAUGAGUAGGCCACUUGCUGACUGUCAGCGUGAAUUUAGGUAGUUUGGGCACGCAUGCGCAUCGGCAGUGCUCCAGGCGACCUGAUGGUCCGUCAAUUUUAGUUGUUUGUGGGAGAAGCUACGAAACAGAAAGGUGUCAGAAAGGAGCUGUCCCUGUGAGGCAGAGAGGAGGGAAAGGAGAAGAUUAGAGGAAGAAAAAAGACAAGGGUGUGUCCUCUCUCCCUGAUGACCUCGUGUGUGUAUCAUCUGUGUCCUCCUGUUCUUGGUCACAUUGUCUCACUUAGGUGUGUUUCCUGGUUCAGAGUUUCCCUGAGUAUUCCUAGUGGUUGACCUAUUAGCACCGGGAUACAACAAUUAAAUGAAAGUUAAACAUAACGGCUGCUGGUCUAAUGGUUGUGAAACAGAAGCUCCUCUGCUGAGUUUUGGAGAUGAAGAGGACCUCAGGAAGAAGCUGCUAUUGAUGUGUCUACAUAGGCAGGCAAAUUUAUAAGCGCUGAAAAUCUCUGACCCAGAUCUGGACUCCUGCCCUCCGAUCAGACAUCGUCCGGACCAGAAUGAUCGUUGGUGCAUCGAGAUGACAGAUGUUACAACUGCAGCCUGACGGGUCAUUGGUGAACUGAAUGUCCACAACUGGUGAAUGGAACGUGGACUAACCAGACUGUGUCACACUGAUCGGAGAGGAGGACUUCAGACAAGUCAGAUGAGGGCAAGUUGCUUGAUCAGCAGAGAAGGGAAGUCAGAUAACACCCACACACACACACACACACACACACCACUCACUCAUUACUGGCAUCUAACACACACACAGCACUAGCACAACCACCUGAACCACAAACGAAGAAGCAAAUGAUGGCCUUUUUAGGCCUGUGUAAUUAUUGCAGAGCAUGGAUCCCUUUGCGUGCAAGCAGUAUGUGCAGCAGCACUCGCUAUGUAGGCCUCCAGAGAACUGGUGCUUUUCCACUCACUUACACUUGAGGUGCUGCUCGUACAGAGUAAAAUGACAUUCUUAUCUCCAGCCAGACACCGGAGCUGCAUAGCGCUCCUGUUAUCGCAACCACACAUAACUAUAGAGGGCUGCAUCACUCUAAACCCAGCCACUCUGCUACCAACGCCACAUGACGGCGACCCUCAUGACUGCAAAGUGCUGACGGAACAAAACAGCAAGCCCAGCUUAGACUUGCAAGAUGAACCACUGGCGAAAGGCCACGUUGUGUUUGUGGACGGCUCAAGCGGGAAAAAUGAUAAAGCAAAACAGAAACGGGCUACGCUAUAGUCACCAAUACCACCAUAAUCAAAGCGGAGAAACUGCCCUCACACCUCUCUGCUCAAGCAGCCGAGUUAAUCGCAUUAACCGAAGCAUGCAAGCAUCAUGCAGGUAAAGAAGUCACGUUUUACACUGACAGCCAGUAUGCCUUUUCUGCUGUAUGUUCGUUUGCAGCACAGUGGGCGAGAAGGGGAAUGCUGACCUCUACAGGGAAGCCAGUAAAACAUGCUGAACUGUUUAAAAAAACCUAUUAACGGCCAUAAAACUACCAUCAGCCCUGGCCAUUUGUAAAUGCGCGGCACACAAAACAGGCACAGACUUGAUAGUAUUGGGAAACAGCUAUGCUGACAAAGCAGCAAAGCUGGCCGCAAGUGGUAAAUAUGGCACCUCAGCAAUUACACGACAAUUGUGGAACGCUUGUGACCCGAAGUGCUCCAUGAGAUGCAGCAGCAAGCAAAAUUGAAGUGGAACAACUUCCUAGGUCACUAUUCAAAACAGCAGCCAUAUUGAUACAUGCUUUAACACAUGUAUCAACAGGGGGGGAUAGUAAGUAAGACCUAUAUGUAUUGCUUAGUCGUAAAACCUAGGGGUACAGCUAAAAAAAUCACUGUUCUUAUCAUCCGCAAGAGCGUAGGACUCGUUGAAAGAACGAAUGGUACAGUAAAAAAAUAGACUAAGGAAAUGUAUGGCAGAAACGGGAAGGCCCUGGGUAGAAUGCAUAGACUUAGUAAAAACAUACAUGCAUGUGACCCCCAACAACACAGGGAUAACCCCCUAUUAGGCAUUGUUUGGCUGACCUUUUAGACUCCUGGUGUACACAGAAUAACAACAAGCAGAGGAAGAGACAGACUUGAGUGAUCGGAUGAGAAAGUUGUUCCAAAGCAAAAAUGUUGUUGAUACAAAUAAACUGCCGGAAGGCUCUUCUGCUUCUCCACAGGAACAUCCAGUAGCGGUGGGAGACUGGGUCCUGGUCAGAGUGAUCAAGAAGAAGUGCUGGAACCAACCCCAGUGGGACGGACCCUACAAAGUACCACUGACCACGCCAACUGCAGUCAAAAUAGCAGAGAGAUCCACGUGGAUCCACCUCAGCCAGUGCAAAAGGAUUGAGCCAACCAACGCUGAGUAGGGGAUGGAAGUCAGGGUACAAAGGGGGGGGGUGAGCCCUAGGCCACCUUCGUCUCAAACCCGUGAAGAAAACAACUGAAUCCCCCACUAAAUAGGGAUGGCUCGUUCACAUGCAAUGACCACGUGGAACUGGAUCUGCACCCUGGGCGCACUGAUGACCAUCGCGACUGCAACACAAGAGUUGAGCACCUUUCGUGCAAUGGUGAUGCAGAACAGAGUGGUUUUGGACUUGCUGGCCGCCCCGCAAGGAGGAGUAUACACCCUGCAGCAGUAUAUGGAACAGCAGACACCUGGAGGGAGUCAGGACUGGCUCUCUUGGCUGACUACUGGAGCUUGGUGGCAAGCCCUGCUGAAAGUCUUAGGGCCACCAGGGGUCAAUCUGUUACUGUUUUGUUUAUUUUUCAGUUGUAUUGUUCCAUGUUUAAGGAAAAUGAUGACGAAUGUUUUCCUUUCAGCUUUCUAUCAGUGUACCCUUGUGCAGGGUGGGCAGGAGGGUGAAACAGAAGACCAAAUAUGAAACCCCCAUUGAAAAUGAGAGACCAAGUGAUGGGGGUGGAUGUAAACUGGUUUUCAAACUAAUGUUUAAAAUUUGCAAAUGUAUGUAGGUGCUUCCCCGAGUGAGACGUACUAGCAGUGGCUGCCGUGAGCGGCGGGGCCGUUGAGGAAUUUUCCUGUCUUGAAAGAAUAGAAAGUGACUUUGGGUCAAAAGAAGGAUAGACAGCCGCAUGACAGGUUUUUCACCUCAACCUCAUUCAGGAUUGUAUGUGCUAUGUUCAUGAUAAACAGGGAGGAAUUGUUAGAAUAGAUAAACAUGUAACUGUUUUUCUAUGUAUCACAAUGUGUUCAUCAUAAACAUGCACAUGACCAUCAGAUUGUAAGCACAAAACAUACUCAC